AUGAUAACAAAAUCCAAGAAGGGCCAGAAGAAAAUCUUCUCCUGCCUGCAGGAACUGAGGAAGAGGAGGAGAAUGAUAACAAAAUCCAAGGGCCAGAGGAAAAUCCCCUGGCUGACAGCAUGCACUGAAAAACCAGUUGAGAAGACUAAAGACAUGCUGGAGAAAGAAGAAUCUGUUCUUUGCUUUUUUUGUUUUUCAACUUUCAGGACUAAGGAAAUUCUGUUAUCAUUUCACAGUUUAACAUCUGACAAGUAAUAUCCACUGAAAUCUGAUGUUUCUAACUUUUGCAGAUAUAUAUAACAGCCUAUGUGCAAGUUACAAAAAACUUUUCCUUAGAUCAGUUCGGAGAGGUAUAUAUGUGACACUAAAAUCUAUCUUCAUUUUUAAGGGAUCGUUUUUCCACCACUUGCUUAACAUGAAUUCUUUUUUGACUAGCCUAAAUAUUCUAAAUGCUAUGUUUAAAACAGUUCCGUAAAAAGAAAAAUGGAGGCCAAGCCUAUGAAGCUGUACUGUCAACCUCAUUAAGCACAUGUAGCUGUUGUGAUUGGAGAUAUCUGCAAGUGUAAAGACACACUUCAAUGUAUUCUGAAUGGCAAGUUACAUCUUGAAAUGAUAACAUUGAUUUACACACAAUACAAUCUUAAAAAUA